rnacentral:rRNA from 1 species
UACGUAGGGGCCUAGCGUUGUCCGGAAUUAUUGGGCGUAAAGAGCUCGUAGGCGGUUCGGCAAGUCGGAUGUGAAAUCUCCACGCUCAACGUGGAGGGGCCAUUCGAAACUGCCGUGACUCGAGUCCGGUAGGGGAGUGUGGAAUUCCCGGUGUAGCGGUGAAAUGCGUAGAUAUCGGGAGGAACAUCAGUGGCGAAGGCGACCGCCUGGCCCAACACUGACGCUGAGGUGCGAAAGCGUGGGUAGCAAACAGG